AUGCCUUAAACUGAUGAGUAAGGAAAAUAACGAUGCGGGGUGACGCCCGCGUCCCUCGUAAUACUCACGAGAAGAAUUUUUGAAAGGGUACAGGUCUGCCUGCUGAGGUGACUCGCCUACUUUGCGAGAUGCCUUGCGGGAUUAGGAUCUACCCC
rnacentral:snRNA from 1 species